rnacentral:rRNA from 1 species
AAAGCUCAAAUUUGAAAUCUGGCUCUUUCAGAGUCCGAGUUGUAAUUUGAAGAAGGUAUCUUUGGGUCUGGCUCUUGUCUAUGUUUCUUGGAACAGAACGUCACAGAGGGUGAGAAUCCCGUGCGAUGAGAUGAUCCAGGCCUAUGUAAAGUUCCUUCGAAGAGUCGAGUUGUUUGGGAAUGCAGCUCUAAGUGGGUGGUAAAUUCCAUCUAAAGCUAAAUAUUGGCGAGAGACCGAUAGCGAACAAGUACAGUGAUGGAAAGAUGAAAAGAACUUUGAAAAGAGAGUGAAAAAGUACGUGAAAUUGUUGAAAGGGAAGGGCUUGAGAUCAGACUUGGUAUUUUGUAUGUUACUUCUUCGGGGGUGGCCUCUACAGUUUAUCGGGCCAGCAUCAGUUUGGGCGGUAGGAGAAUUGCGUUGGAAUGUGGCACGGCUUCGGUUGUGUGUUAUAGCCUUCGUCGAUACUGCCAGCCUAGACUGAGGACUGCGGUUUAUACCUAGGAUGUUGGCAUAAUGAUCUUAAGUCGCCCGUCUUG